rnacentral:rRNA from 1 species
GACGUAGGGUGCAAGCGUUGUCCGGAUUUAUUGGGCGUAAAGAGUUCGUAGGCGGUUGCCUAAGUCUGAUGUUAAAGCCCGGAGCUCAACUCCGGUAUGGCAUUGGAAACUGGGCAGCUUGAGUAUGAUAGAGGUUACGGGAAUUCCUGGUGUAGCGGUGAAAUGCGUAGAUAUCAGGAGGAACACCGGUGGCGAAAGCGCGUAACUGGGGUCAUAACUGACGCUGAGGAACGAAAGCCAGGGUAGCAAAAAAGG